rnacentral:rRNA from 1 species
UGGGGAAUAUUGCACAAUGGAGGAAACUACUGAUGCAGCGACGCCGCGUGAGUGAAGAAGUAUUUCGGUAUGUAAAGCUCUAUCAGCAGGGAAGACAGUGACGGUACCUGACUAAGAAGCUCCGGCUAAAUACGUGCCAGCAGCCGCGGUAAUACGUAUGGAGCAAGCGUUAUCCGGAUUUACUGGGUGUAAAGGGAGCGCAGGCGGUCCUGCAAGUCUGAUGUGGAAGCCCGGGGCUCAACCCCGGGACUGCAUUGGAAACUGUGGGACUUGAGUGUCGGAGGGGCAAGUGGAAUUCCUAGUGUAGCGGUGAAAUGCGUAGAUAUUAGGAGGAACACCAGUGGCGAAGGCGGCUUGCUGGACGACAACUGACGCUGAGGCUCGAAAGCGUGGGGAGCAAACAGGAUUAGAUACCCUGGUAGU